rnacentral:lncRNA from 1 species
UAAUAUUGCUAAUUAAGGAUGUAUUUUCUAACUUUUAGAUAUUUCAGGGAAAUGUGGAUAAGGGUGAUUAAAGAUACAGGAGAAAGGAAUGGACAAACAGAUGACAUGGAAGUCAGAAUGAAGCUGACAGAUGAAAAGCAUAAACAAGAACAAUGAGAUGGUGAGUAUGUAAUAUUGCUAAUUAAGGAUGUAUUUUCUAUCUUUUAGAUAUUUCAGGGAAAUGUGGAUGAGGGUGAUAAAAGAUGCAGGAGAGAAUGGAAUGGACAAACAGAUGACAUGGAGGUCAGAAUGAAGUUGACAGAUGUAAAGCAUAAACAAGAACAAUGAGAUGGUGUGUUGAGGUGAAACCUGAUAAUUUCUAGGAAGACUGUCUUCGGCUGAUGUACAAAAAGCCUGACAACAGCUUCAAGCCUGGCAAUAGCUUCUGAAAGACACAUAUAUCACAAUAGAGGGAAAUGAUCAACUACAGUCAAUUUGUUUCAACAUUUACCAAGUCCAGGAAAUUCCUAAUACUGAACACAGGAGACUGAUGCCUUGUAAACAAAAAGCAGCGCAUG